rnacentral:rRNA from 1 species
UACGUAGGGUGCAAGCGUUGUCCGGAAUUAUUGGGCGUAAAGAGCUCGUAGGCGGCUUGUCACGUCGACUGUGAAAUCCCCGGGCUCAACCCGGGAACUGCGUCCGAGACUGGAAGGCUUGAAUCCGGGAGAGGGAUGUGGAAUUCCAGGUGUAGCGGUGAAAUGCGUAGAUAUCUGGAGGAACAUCGGUGGCGAAGGCGGCAUCCUGGACCGGUAUUGACGCUGAGGCGCGAAAGCCAGGGGAGCAAACGGG